ACGAACGCUGGCGGCACGCUUAACACAUGCAAGUCGAACGAGAGAAGAGGAGCUUGCUUUUCUGAUCUAGUGGCGGACGGGUGAGUAACACGUGAGCAAUCUGCCUUUCAGAGGGGGAUACCGAUUGGAAACGAUCGUUAAUACCGCAUAACAUAAUUGAACCGCAUGAUUUGAUUAUCAAAGAUUUAUCGCUGAAAGAUGAGCUCGCGUCUGAUUAGCUAGUUGGUAAGGUAACGGCUUACCAAGGCGACGAUCAGUAGCCGGACUGAGAGGUUGAUCGGCCACAUUGGGACUGAGACACGGCCCAGACUCCUACGGGAGGCAGCAGUGGGGAAUAUUGCACAAUGGAGGAAACUCUGAUGCAGCGAUGCCGCGUGAGGGAAGAAGGUUUUAGGAUUGUAAACCUCUGUCUUCAGGGACGAAAAAAGACGGUACCUGAGGAGGAAGCUCCGGCUAACUACGUGCCAGCAGCCGCGGUAAUACGUAGGGAGCGAGCGUUGUCCGGAAUUACUGGGUGUAAAGGGAGCGUAGGCGGGAUCGCAAGUCAGAUGUGAAAACUAUGGGCUUAACCCAUAAACUGCAUUUGAAACUGUGGUUCUUGAGUGAAGUAGAGGUAAGCGGAAUUCCUAGUGUAGCGGUGAAAUGCGUAGAUAUUAGGAGGAACAUCAGUGGCGAAGGCGGCUUACUGGGCUUUAACUGACGCUGAGGCUCGAAAGCGUGGGGAGCAAACAGGAUUAGAUACCCUGGUAGUCCACGCCGUAAACGAUGAUUACUAGGUGUGGGGGGACUGACCCCUUCCGUGCCGCAGCAAACGCAAUAAGUAAUCCACCUGGGGAGUACGACCGCAAGGUUGAAACUCAAAGGAAUUGACGGGGGCCCGCACAAGCAGUGGAGUAUGUGGAUUAAUUCGAAGCAACGCGAAGAACCUUACCAGGUCUUGACAUCGUAUGCAUAGCUCAGAGAUGAGUGAAAUCUCUUCGGAGACAUAUAGACAGGUGGUGCAUGGUUGUCGUCAGCUCGUGUCGUGAGAUGUUGGGUUAAGUCCCGCAACGAGCGCAACCCUUACUGUUAGUUGCUACGCAAGAGCACUCUAGCAGGACUGCCGUUGACAAAACGGAGGAAGGUGGGGAUGACGUCAAAUCAUCAUGCCCCUUAUGACCUGGGCCUCACACGUGCUACAAUGGCUGUCAACAGAGGGAAGCAAAGCCGCGAGGUGGAGCAAACCCCUAAAAGCAGUCUUAGUUCGGAUUGUAGGCUGCAACCCGCCUACAUGAAGUCGGAAUUGCUAGUAAUCGCAGAUCAGCAUGCUGCGGUGAAUACGUUCCCGGGCCUUGUACACACCGCCCGUCACGCCAUGGGAGUCGGUAACACCCGAAGCCUGUAGUCUAACCGCAAGGAGGACGCAGUCGAAGGUGGGAUUGAUGACUGGGGUG
rnacentral:rRNA from 1 species